rnacentral:tRNA from 1 species
GGGAAUGUGGCUUAGUGGUAGAGUGCUUGUCUAGCAUGUAUGAAGCCUUGGGUUCGAUUCCUCAGUACCA